rnacentral:tRNA from 1 species
GAGUAUGCCAGGUCCUAUGAGAACUGCUAAUUCCUCAUCACCAUGGUUCAAAUCCAUGGCUUACUCA